AGAAAGCGGGAGAGCGCGUCAUCGCCGCCGAAGGUGCAAAACUCUCAGGCAACAGGACCGUUU
rnacentral:ncRNA from 1 species